GCUCGAUUGGUGUAGUCCGGCCAAUCAUCUCGGCCUUUCGAGCCGAGGACAGGGGUUCAAAUCCCCUAUCGAGCA
rfam:Haloquadratum sp. J07HQX50 genomic scaffold scf7180000001541, whole genome shotgun sequence.